CAAAUUAACCUUUAAAAGGAAUUAUUAUUUACAUUAAUAAUUUGAUUGUGAAAUUCAUUCUAAUUUGA
rnacentral:tRNA from 1 species